GGAGGCGCUUUUCGGCCGGUGCCGAGCCCGGACUUCAAAUCCGGUGGGGGCAGGUAAUGCCUGUCUCGGUGGGUUCGACCCCCAUGCGCCUCCGCCA
rnacentral:tRNA from 1 species